rnacentral:rRNA from 1 species
CCUACGGGUGGCAGCAGUGAGGAAUAUUGGUCAAUGGACGAGAGUCUGAACCAGCCAAGUAGCGUGAAGGAUGACUGCCCUAUGGGUUGUAAACUUCUUUUAUAAGGGAAUAAAACGAGGCACGUGUGCCUUUUUGCAUGUACUUUAUGAAUAAGGAACGGCUAACUCCGUGCCAGCAGCCGCGGUAAUACGGAGGAUCUGAGCGUUAUCCGGAUUUAUUGGGUUUAAAGGGAGCGUAGAUGGGUUGGUAAGUCAGUUGUGAAAGUUUGCGGCUCAACCGUAAAAUUGCAAUUGAUACUGGCAGUCUUGAGUACAGUUGAGGUAGGCGGAAUUCGUGGUGUAGCGGUGAAAUGCUUAGAUAUCACGAAGAACCCCGAUGGCGAAGGCAGCUUACUAAACUGUGACUGACAUUGAUGCUCGAAAGUGUGGGUAGCAAACAGGAUUAAAUACCCCUGUAGUC